rnacentral:tRNA from 1 species
GGGGGAUUAGCUCAGUUGGGAGAGCGCUUGCAUGGCAUGCAAGAGGUCAAGGGUUCAAAUCCCUUAUCCUCCACCA